GACGAACGCUGGCGGCGUGCUUAACACAUGCAAGUCGAGCGGUAAGGCCCCUUCGGGGGUACACGAGCGGCGAACGGGUGAGUAACACGUGGGUGACAUGCCCUCAGCCCUGGGAUAAGCCUGCGAAACCGGGUCUAAUACCGGAUAGGACCGUCCAACGCACGGCGGGGGGUGGAAAGUUUCUUCGGCUGGGGCUGGGCCCGCGGCCUAUCAGCUUGUUGGUGGGGUGAUGGCCUACCAAGGCGACGACGGGUAGCCGGCCUGAGAGGGCGACCGGCCACACUGGGACUGAGACACGGCCCAGACUCCUACGGGAGGGAGCAGUGGGGAAUAUUGCGCAAUGGGCGGAAGCCUGACGCAGCGCCGCCGCGUGGGGGAUGACGGCCUUCGGGUUGUAAACCUCUUUCGACCGGGACGAAGGGUGACUGACGGUACCGGUAGAAGAAGCACCGGCCAACUACGUGCCAGCAGCCGCCGUAA
rnacentral:rRNA from 1 species